CAGGCAGGGACGGACUGGCACCUGCAGGAAGGACAGGGGCUUGGCUGAGCAGAGCAUGGCCAGCCUAGCCGAGGGCAGCCAGCAUCCUACACUCACUGGUCUCGAGGUGCCCAAGCCAGGGGCCCAGGACUUUGGGCAUUACUGGGAAAUGAUGGGAACCCAGGGUGAGGUGGCGUGAAACAAGAUGAGAUGGUCCCGCAACUUAGCUGUGGAGACAGAUGGCAGUGGCAAGAGGCCGCUGCACGUGAACAAAUGCCCUCCCCACUCCGCGCACCCCCUGGUGGCUCAGGAGACUCUAUAGCCUGGGGCACAAGUGGCCCUUGAGGUGAUGUCAGUGCCCAGGUGCCUGGGUUCCUAUGUCCAGGGCACCUGCUCUGUCGCUGAAGGCUCUGACAAACUCUCAAGUGUCCGGGGAAAGAGACGCCCUGCUCAAUGAUUUGGGAGGUUGGUUAGUGUCAGGCCUCUGAGCCCAAGCCAAGCCAUCGCAUCCCCUGUGACUUGCACGUAUACGCCCAGAAGGCCUGAAGUAACUGAAGAAUCACAAAAGAAGUGACUAUGCCCUGCCCCACCUUAACUGAUGACAUUCCACCACAAAAGAAGUGCAAAUGGCCGGCCCUUGCCUUAACUGAUGACAUUACCUUGUGAAAGUCCUUUUCCUGGCUCAUCCUGGCUCAAAAAGCACCCCCACCGAGCACCUUGCAACCCCCACUCCUGCCCGCCAGAGAACAAACCCCCUUUGACUGUAAUUUUCCUUUACCUACCCAAAUCCUAUAAAACGGCCCCAAACUUAUCUCCCUUGGCUGACUCUCUUUUCGGACUCAGCCCGUCUGCACCCAGGUGAAAUAAACAGCCA
rnacentral:lncRNA from 10 species